rfam:Triticum aestivum genome assembly, contig: Triticum_aestivum_CS42_TGACv1_scaffold_642011_T_1DL-0.259630_7DL-0.185270
AGUAUCAGAGGAUGAAACCUUGAAACAAUCUUAGGACACCUUCUGACACAGUGCUUAUUUUCCUGUGAAUGAGAAGUCAUUUAUAUUCUGAUGAUACA